GGUAAAAUGACUGAGGUUUAAAAAGGUGAUAGAUUGUAAAUCUAUUAAGGAGAAUUUUCUCUUUUACCA
rnacentral:tRNA from 1 species